CCCACCCAAAAAGAGGGUAGUGAAUUUGAAAGCACUUCUGAACCUUUUUAAUUUAUUAGAAAGCACCUUAAAUAGAAUCUUGUAAAUGCUUCCUACCGGACUAAUAGGUCUAUAGUCCUUUAUACUUGUCACACCUUCCUUCUUUGGCACAUUAGUAACAAAGGAUGCAUUAAGACUUUUCUCGUACUCCCCUGAAUUCUGAAUUCUGCAAUGGUCACCAACAGCUCACAUUUGACUAUCCUCCAACAUUGUUGGAAAAGAGCAAACGAGAAUCCAUCAGGACUUGGAGCCUUGUCACCCAGACAACUAUCCCUCACCUCUUCUUCUUCUACAGCCCUUUCCAACCACUCCCUCACCCCCUCCCCUAUUAGGUUAAAUACUAGCGCCCCCCAGAAUUUUUGUCUCCACCUGAUAACUUCCUUGAACGAAUGUUCAUAAAACCAUACAAUGGCCUCCUCCACUUCCGCCUCCCCCUCACGCGCCUAUAAAAACGAUAAAGUUUCUCUUCCUAUUUGCUAUGGCUACCCUAUGAAAGAAUUUUUUGUUAGAAUUCCCCCUCUUUCAACCACAAUGCCCUCAAAUUUUGCCUCCAACUAGUCUCUUCGGCAACCGCUAGAGCCGCAAGCUCCCUCUUUGCCUACUCAUAUCUGACCUUCUCCCUUUCUUCUAACAUCCUCAUCCCUUCCACAUGCUCAAUCUCCCCCACCUCAUUUAUUAGCUCUCUUAUUUUAAACUUUCACCCUCCCAAACACCUCUUUGUUCCAUUUACUUAUAUCUCCGUUUACAAUUUCAACUUACAGGCAAGUCGAAAAGAUGGUGUGCCAGUUUUUAUUCUUGAAAAACUUCAAACUAUAUUAAAAAUAAAUAUCACAUGACUUGAGCAACUAAAUAUGAUGGGAUCCAGUUUUAGUAGCCCAGUGAUUCAGGCAAUACAAUUUUUAGUCAUUUUAUUCUCGUGACAGGGAAAUUUCCCCAUAGAACUAAGAAGAGAUGUCUAUAGAUAUUUCAUCAUAAGCCAUACCACGGCAUUCAACAAUUUCUUUGCUAAAUUCAUACCUACGAUCAAGUCACAAUAUGUCAGAAAGUGCAAUAACAGUUAUCCUGUUACAAUAAAUAGACACAUAGAAACAUAUACAUUAAGAUGUCAAUAACCUAUAGGUCAAGAUAAAAUACCAACAUAUUCUAUUUGGAAAUACUUCGAAAAUACUCUCCACACAAUUUCUUCUUGUUCCCCUGUAUAAAAGGCAACGUGGUUAACAGAGCACCAAAUCUCAG
rnacentral:lncRNA from 1 species